UCCAAUUUUAUCGGAUGUCC
rnacentral:siRNA from 1 species